CACUCUGUACCUCGGUGUCUAUGGCUCGAGGGGUUUACAGAGGCAUUGGAUUUAUUAUUGUUGUUGUCUAUUGCUUGUUGUUAUUUACGUGAAGCUAGAGAUUCGUGGUGUCAUACAAUGGGGAAUAUUAUAAACUAACAAGACUGAAGGCUCAGUGAGACGCCUCCAUCAAACUGAGAAUUGGAAAAGUUGCACCAUCGAGACACGACAGUGACUAGAUCAAAACACAGGACUAAAAGACAGACCCAGCACGGAUUUACAACAACAGGAUAAAGGGGAGCCGUAACGGAGACAAUCUAACGACCACCAGUGGACUGAAUCAAGGAAGCUAGUGAAUCUUGGCUUCCUUGGUCUUAGGCACACAUGUUGUGGAGACGCUGCUCCGCCCGUCAGGUUUUUUAAUGCAAACUCGGGAGGAAAAGACUGAGGAAUCAUCGCAAAAGGAAGUUGUGCAAGAGACAACAAGCAAGGAGUGACGACCUGACAAGCGAUACAAAGUGGACCAACGUCACAAAAAGAUAGAUACAAACACAGGAGAACCCUUGGGCGUACGUCAUGGGGCAAGGCAGCAGUCAGUUCACCGAGGCCGAGUUGGAGGAGUACCAAGAGCUGACAUACUUCACCAAGAAGGAAAUUUUAUAUGCUCAUAAACGCUUCAAGAAUUUGGCGCUUGAAAAAGUUGGUCACAACCGCAAUGCAAAGCUUCCCAUGGACAAGUUGCUAUCACUUCCUGAACUGCGUGCCAAUCCCUUUGGUGAACGCAUGUGUCUCAUCUUCUCUUCAACCAAAGAUGGAGACUGUACAUUUGAGGAUUUUCUGGAUAUGAUGUCUGUGUUCAGUGAGGCAGCCCCAAAAUCAGUGAAGGCAGAAUAUGCCUUUAGGAUUUUCGACUUUGAUGGUGAUGACUAUUUGGGCCGCAGUGACCUAGAGGAGACUAUCACCAAACUAGUUAGUCCACAGCGUUUUUCCUCAGAAGAUAUGAAGAGAGAGAGGAAUGACUGCUGAGCACUCCAAUUCCAAAAAAGUUGAGGCAAACCAUACAUCAUUUUUGGCUCAGUUUACAUCCCAAGCAUUGAGCUAUAUACUUCAUAUGAAAGCUUUGGAAAUUCCAAGUAUACAUUACAUGUGUAGAAACAGCAUAAUAUAUAUGACAAGAUGAAGCUUUAGUCAACCGAGUGUUGGAAGAAGCUGAUCUGGAUGAUGAUGGAAUGUUGGCUUUUGCAGAAUUUGAACAUGUCAUUUCAAAAUCUCCUGACUUUGCUAAUUCAUUUAGGAUACGUCUCUGAAAAAAUGAAGCUUGAAGCAGCAGCAUCUUGGUUGGAGCUUGUUUGGGAGCUUCCUGCCAUCGUCUCAGCCACCAGCUCUCCAUCAGCUCCUUUACUGACUCAUUUAUCAAUCCCAUUUUGACCAACAGGCUCUUGGACAAAGAGUUUGAGUGGUCCCAUUAACUAACUGCUGGGGUUAACAAUGAUCAUAUUUGAGACCCAUGAUAUAAAUGCACAAGAAAAUAUGACAUGUAGGCCAUAUAAAAAAAAGUCAGAAAAACUUAGCAAAUAAUAAAAACAAAAAUGAGAGAGAACACUUAAGGACUUCCAGUCCAAAUUUAUAUUGAAAAUAAAUUUAUAGUGCAGAAUUAUAAACGAUUAUGAUCAAAGAUAUAUGUUACAGAUAUUUUGAUUUAAGAAACACUUGUAACAUGUGGUUGUGGAAUCACAACAGUGUGACCCAUGUUAAUUACCAUUAUACAAGAAUCUCACUUGUGAACUAGUCAUGCAACAGGAGUGGAAGACUCAUCAUACUAUUACAUAGGAAUCUCAUUUUCAUGAACAUCUUGCAGCAAUCAUGAUAGAAUGACAGUUUGUCAAAAGUCAGAGAUGAACUUACUCUGCUGUUUCCUCAUGCACAUGUGGAUAACAGUGAUUAUUAAAAUUUAAGAAAAAUUUUGAUGUGUAUAUGUGUAGUUCAUAUCUUUUGGGGGAAAAUAUAAAGAAUAAAACAGCCCCAUGGAGGCUUGUCUCUCUUCUUGAUGUCCAUCUGGUUUGACUUCUUCCCCUUAUCAUAGGGAGAAGCCUCUGUUCUGCAGUGGGCUGAUAUAGCCUAUGAUAAUGAUUUCAAGAAUAAUCAAAAGAUAAUUAUACCUUGGACAUUCCACAAUGUAGUUGUUACAUCAGUGCUUUAUGUGAAGCAGUUUAGAUUAGUAUGGUAGUUAUGACCCUCCAUAACCUCACAUCUUUAUAUGUUUGAGAAUGAAGAGAUGAAAUGUAGAGUGGUUAAGAUACAAUGCAGAAUCUCUUAGUUUUAACUUUCUAUUUAUAUUGGCUCUGAGAUAACUCUGACUUAAUAUUUAUUCAGUUCUUUUUGGCAUUCAAAAUUAGCCAGUUUAGAAAGAUUUUCCCAUCUUAAUGGAAUUUAAUUUUCUGGGUUCUGAUAAAUGGUUUGGGACUUAGUGAAGACAAAUAUAUGGUCAACAGCAUUGACUAUCCUGUAUAUGGACGAGUAAUAGAAGACUGAUAGAGAAAACAAUACCAAAAAUGUGAACUGUCUCCUAAUUUGAUGACUCAAGCUUAAGCAAGAAUUCCUAAGAACUGUACAUGAGGUGGAGUGUACAGUUCCAUGGUUUCUGAGACUUAAAAGCUGUAUUUAAUUUUAGUUUUGUCAGUUGACUAUAAAAUGAUGAGUUAGGAAGACUAAAUUAAAAACUCACCUGAACAGAGAAGUGGACAUGGUGAAUAUGUUCCCCCUGUAGGGUAAAGACCUCAUCCCCACCAUAAGAAACAUCUGUGAAGAAGACAAUUCUGUGAAUGAAACCACGAAAAGUUUAAAAUAAAAUUUGAACAAUUAAGCAUCUGGAAUGUUAAUACUUAAGUAACAUGAGAAAUGCCAAACUAUUAAGUUAUAUAAAACUAUUUAUCACAAAGAAAUCUGCACAUACUAUAUCUGGCUGACAAUCCCACACAGGUUGGCCCAGAUAAAGUAAAGCACCACAAACUCCUACACACAUCACUCUCACUUUUAGCCCCAUCUUAUAGAUACUGUGCAUAAUUAAGAGAUUGUUAGCUUACUGUAGAUUACUGAAUUUGUCUAAAAACCAAAGAAAUGAAUGUUUUAUAUGUGUUAUAAAUAAAACCAAAGAUUUCAUAAUUGUUA